UUUUUUUUUUUUUUAAUCUUCUAUCUCUUUCUUUUAUUUUUAAAAGACAAAUAUCUNNNNNNNNNNNNNNNNNNNNNNNNNNNNNNNNNNNNNNNNNNNNNNNNNNNNNNNNNNNNNNNNNNNNNNNNNNNAUACAUAUAUAUCUGCAUAUGUAUUUAUAGAAAUAUAUAUCUGACUCACAUGUAUAUAUAAACAUAUAGGACACAAAAUCUCUAUAACAAAAUGACAAUUAUAUACAUAUACAUAUAGGUAAUAAAAAAAUACAUGAUACAUAUCUUAAACAAUAAAAGAAAACAAAUAAUUACAUAUGUUACCCUCUAAAAUGACAUAGUAUAUACAGUUCAAAGACAAAUCCAAUACCGUAUAAAAUGCAUAUAGCUCUACUUAUGUAUUUACAGAAUACAUACUUGAUUCAUGUGUAUAUUCUUAUUUUAUAUGAGAAACCUUUAUAUUUCGCAAAUACAUAUGAAGAUAUAUAGUAUAGUUNNNNNNNNNNNNNNNNNNNNNNNNNNNNNNNNNNNNNNNNNNNNNNNNNNNNNNNNNNNNNNNNNNNNNNNNNNNNNNNNNNNNNNNNNNNNNNNNNNNNNNNNNNNNNNNNNNNNNNNNNNNNNNNNNNNNNNNNNNNNNNNNNNNNNNNNNNNNNNNNNNNNNNNNNNNNNNNNNNNNNNNNNNNNNNNNNNNNNNNNNNNNNNNNNNNNNNNNNNNNNNNNNNNNNNNNNNNNNNNNNNNNNNNNNNNNNNNNNNNNNNNNNNNNNNNNNNNNNNNNNNNNNNNNNNNNNNNNNNNNNNNNNNNNNNNNNNNNNNNNNNNNNNNNNNNNNNNNNNNNNNNNNNNNNNNNNNNNNNNNNNNNNNNNNNNNNNNNNNNNNNNNNNNNNNNNNNNNNNNNNNNNNNNNNNNNNNNNNNNNNNNNNNNNNNNNNNNNNNNNNNNNNNNNNNNNNNNNNNNNNNNNNNNNNNNNNNNNNNNNNNNNNNNNNNNNNNNNNNNNNNNNNNNNNNNNNNNNNNNNNNNNNNNNNNNNNNNNNNNNNNNNNNNNNNNNNNNNNNNNNNNNNNNNNNNNNNNNNNNNNNNNNNNNNNNNNNNNNNNNNNNNNNNNNNNNNNNNNNNNNNNNNNNNNNNNNNNNNNNNNNNNNNNNNNNNNNNNNNNNNNNNNNNNNNNNNNNNNNNNNNNNNNNNNNNNNNNNNNNNNNNNNNNNNNNNNNNNNNNNNNNNNNNNNNNNNNNNNNNNNNNNNNNNNNNNNNNNNNNNNNNNNNNNNNNNNNNNNNNNNNNNNNNNNNNNNNNNNNNNNNNNNNNNNNNNNNNNNNNNNNNNNNNNNNNNNNNNNNNNNNNNNNNNNNNNNNNNNNNNNNNNNNNNNNNNNNNNNNNNNNNNNNNNNNNNNNNNNNNNNNNNNNNNNNNNNNNNNNNNNNNNNNNNNNNNNNNNNNNNNNNNNNNNNNNNNNNNNNNNNNNNNNNNNNNNNNNNNNNNNNNNNNNNNNNNNNNNNNNNUAUUUUAAUAAUGAAUAAUGGACAAGUAUAUUAUUGCAUAUGCUCAUGAAAAGGAGACAACCAAGUUGAAAAGAAUGACCAAGUUAGGCAUAUAUUAUAAUAAAAUAAAUAUGUAGAAUAAAAAACAUACAGAAUUAUGUAACUUUUUAAAUUGGCUUUUAAGGCAUAGAUUAUAAUAAAAUAAAUCAUGCAAAAAAAUAAUAUAGAAUUAUGUAACUUUUUUAAUUGGCUGUUGGGGUGGAGAGAAAUCUAAUGGAAAAGCAACACGUCAUACGAGUUAAUUUUAAUUUUUUUUUUCUCUGUCCAUCUUUAUUUCACGCCUAGUGUUGGGAAAUGAAUAGUAUUCAAUAACAUAACGGCAAAAUAGGCACAAAGUAUUAAAUUAUUUUUUGAUUUUUUCAAAUUGAAUGACUAUUUUCAAUGUAACGAACGUUCACUGGUUGAGGGAGACAUUGAAUGGGGAAGCGACACAUCAUACGAGUUGAUUUUAUUUUCAUGUAGGAAAAAAAUAUAGAAUUAUAUAACUUUUUUGAUUUGGUACUAAGGGUAGAGAGAUAUCGAAUAGGGAAGUGACACAUCAUUUGAGUUGAUUUUAACUUCAUGUAGAAAAAAAUUAUUGAAUUAUGUAAUUUUUUAUUGGAUAGUUAGGUGGAGAGAUAUCAACGAAUGAGAAAGCGAAACAUCAUAUGAGUUGAUCUUAAUGUAGAAAAAAAAAUUAUUUAACUUUUUUGAUUGGAUAAUUGGGUGGAGAGAUAUUGACGAAUGAGAAAACGAAACAUCUUAUGAGUUGAUCUUCAUGCAGAAAAAAAAUAAAAUAAUUUAACUUUUUGAUUCGCUCCUAGGGGUGGAGAGACAUUGAAUGGGGAAGCGACACAUCAUGUGAGUUAAUUUUAACUGACAUAAUACAUAAAUAUAUUUUUUAACUUGACAUCAUAUCACAUCUAUGACCUUCAACUUUGGAUGUGCACAAGUAGAUAUUAAACUCGUAUAAAGUUGAAUAAGUAGACAUAUAUAUUUUAUGUGGCAUAAUACACGUAUGACGCUAUGUAGGACGCCACAUAAGACAUAUGUGUAUACUUGUUUAACUUUAUACACAUUUAAUUACCUACUUGUAUACGCCCAAAUUUGGAGAUCAUAGAUGUGAUCUGACCACAAGUUAAAUAGCAUGUUUAUGUAUUGUACCAUUUUAAUUUCAUGUAAAAAAAAUGUAGAAUUAUGUACUUUUUUUUGAUUGAUUGUAGGGUGGAGAGAUAUCGACGAAUGAGAAAGCGAUACAUCACAUGAGUUGAUCUUCAUGUAGAAAAAAAUAAAAUUAUGUAACUUUUUUGAUUGAAUAGUUGGGUGGAUAGAUAUCGACGAAUGAAAAAACGAAACAUCAUAUGAGUUGAUCUUCAUGUAGAAAAAAAAUAAAAUAAUUCAACUUUUUGAUUGGCCCCUAGGGGUGGACAGACAUUGAAUGGGGAAGCGACACAUCAUAUGAGUUAAUUUUAGCUGGCAUAAUACAUAAAUAUAUCCUUUUACUUAACGUCAGAUCACAUUUAUGACCUUCAACUUUGAGCGUGUAUAAGUAGACAUUUAAAUUUUAUAUAAAAUUGAACAAGUAGAUACAUACGUUCUAUGUGUCAUAAGAUACGUAGAACGAUAUGUAGGGCAAGACUUGAUCACGUGAGAUGUCACAUAUAACAUAUGAAAUCAUGCAAAAAAAAUGUAGAGUUAUGUACCUUUUUUUAUUGAUUGUUCAUACAUCAUAUGAGUUAAUUUUUAAUUUCAUGGAAAAAGAAAAAUAUAUGAAAUCAUGGCUGUUGGGAUUGUGAGGAAGACAUGAAAUGGGAGAGCAACUUAAGUGUUAAAUUUUAUUUUAUUUUAAAUCAAGGUCAAGUACAAUUGCUUUAACAAGAUUACAACCACAUUUUGAGAUAUGUUAUACAUAUUCGGUUGAUGGGAGGUGACAAAUAUAUUACAUCUAAGUUUAACACUUACAGAGGUGAUAAGUAUAUUUGUGUCUAAGUUGCAUAGAUACAGAAGUGACAAAUAUAUCCGCUUCUAAGUUAAACAGAUACAGAGCUGACAAAUAUAUCUGCUUCUAAGUUAAACAGAUACAGAGGUGACAAAUAUAUCCGCUUCGAAGUUGAGCUUCUAAAUUAAACAGAUACAGAGGUAACAAAUAUAUCCGCUUCUAAGUUGAGCAGAUACAGAGGUGACAAAUAUAUAUUUUUCCAAGUUGAACAGAAACAUAUAUAGAGGUGACAUAUAUAUUUGUGUCUAAGUUGAACAGAUACAGAAGUUACAAAUAUAUCUGCCUAAACAGAUACAGUAUCUGCUUCUAAGUUGAACAGAUACAGAGGUGAUAAAUAUAUCUGCUUGACAACGCUGUUUCAAUAAAAUUAGUGGGCUAAAGACAAAUUUUAAUAUGAAGUGUUAAGUAUAUAAACAAAAGUAUUUCCAAUAAUUUAGAGUUAUUUUUUGAUUGUAGUAUUCUCAGAACAUAGUAAUAUUAUUAUUUAUAAAAGUAAGGAAUAAUUUUAAUUAAUAAGAUAUUAAUCAUUUUUCUGCAAUACAUUAUCUUGAAUAUUAUUGUAAAAAUUUUAUUUAUUAACAUCAAUAUUUGAUAAAAAGUUCUAAAAUAUUUUUAAUAAACAAUAGAUAUUUUUUUUCCAUUAGUUUAAACUUUAUACCUUUUAUAUUUUUCAAUCUUUAAUAUUAUAUGAAGUGAAAUUAAAAUCAUAAAAUUCAUAUUAAAUUUUUUGGGGUUCAAUCUUUAAUAUUAUACGAAGUAAAAUUAAAAUCAUAAAAUUAAUAUUAAAUUUUUUGGGGCCUCAAAAUUUUGGGGGCCUAAAGCAGACGUUUUACUAGCGUUACUCUUGAGUUACCCCUCUAUGUUGAACAGAUAUAGACAUGACAAAUAUAUCUGCUUCUAAGUUAAACAGUUACAGAGGUGACAAAUAUAUCUGCUUCUAAGUUGAACAAAUAUAAAAAAAUAUUAUGUAAUAUUUUUAUUAUUUUCCUCUGUAUAAUAAUGUUUGAUCUGACACGAAAUACAGAAUUUAACAAAAACCACCAUAAGGAUACUUUUCGAAUUUGCGCAUGGUCUUAAAUAUAUACUAUGAUAUUUCUUUCGCUACAAGAACAUGUCAUUACGAUCAUGUAUAAAAUAUUGUUAUUUUUAAUAAAUCAGUAGAAAGAAAUGGGUGUCACGUAAAAUGAAAUGAAAGUGCUCCCUUAUUAGGGACACUAAUUAAAUGAAAUAUUAUGUCUUGUCACUAGAAAGUAAUCAUAUUGUACUAUUCAAUUUCAUUCAUUCAUUACUUUCAAAUAAAAAUGGAAUGUUAUAAAGUAAAAAAUGUGACAAGAUUCCUUUUAGGAUUAAAAAAAAAAGUUAAUGAAAAGAUAGGGGUCAAAAAAAGCUUCAUAAAAACCUAGCUAAAAGAUUACAUAGGAACAUUACUAGUUUAUCCUUAUCUUGUUCCCCAUGUUAUUUACAUUCUAUUAUAGUCUUGUCUAUUUGUCCCUUUUACUAUACUUUAUAUCAUUAUAAUUUAUUUAAUUUCUAUAAGUGACCUAAUUUUCUUUAUCUACUAUCCAUGUUGACGGUGUCAACAUUUUGUGGUUCAAUUUUAUCUUUUUUCUUUUUAUAAUCAUGGUAUUCGAAUAAGUUUUGUUCAGUUCAAUUAAAUUCAUGAAAUAUUAAUCGUCUCUCAUCAAUAAUAAAUAUCAGAUAAUAGCUAAAACAGACAAGAGGAAUCACCUAAAAAGAGCAAGAAAAUAAAAAGUGUUUAUCGAUAGAUAUGCUUGAUGUUGAGCCAUAUAUAUUUUCAAGAUAUCUGGAGCUAAAAAAGUCAAGAAACUACAAUAUAUACAAUCAGAUCUUUAUUAGUUAUCUAAAAUAACAAUAAUAUUUUAUUAUAACUGACAACUUUUUUAAAAUCGACUUUCUUAUGUUAUAUUAUAUAUUUUUUUUUUAUAAUUAUAUCUCACUAUAAUAAUCAAACGAUCUAUGAACAAACAAUGUCAUUAUAAAAGGUUUAAUUCUAUCCCUAUUCUUGACUUUUAUGCAACACCAUAAUUUAUAAAAGAGAUAUUUUGGACUUUUCAAUAUUUUAUAUAGUUUCAUGAUUAGUACCAAUUAUGCUUUAAAAAUUAGUAGAACUUUUAGACCAAGAUCAAAGAAUCUCACUUGUCUAUUUAAGAUUUAACAUUUGAAUUAGUACCAAUUAUGUUUUAAAAAUUAAUGGAACUUUUAGACCAAGAUCAAAGAAUCUCAUUUGUCUAUUUAGGAUUUAACAUUUGAAUUAGUACCAAUUAUGUUUUAAAAAUUAAUAGAACUUUUAGACCAAGAUCAAAGAAUCUCAUUUGUCUAUUUAGGAUUUAACAUUUAAAUUAGGAGCACUUAAUUUGGUCAAUAUUUAUUUUGAGGUUCUUUUCAUUAUUUUUCAAUUAUUCACAUUUGAAAUUAGCAAAAUGCUUUGUAGAAUAAUUGUUUGUGUACAUGUGAUGUGUUAUUAUUAGUGAAAUGACAUAAAAUAACAUGAUCAAUAGGGAUAAGGAUGUGAUAUAUAUAUAAAAUUUUUGAUAUAAGAUAUUUAACUGAUCAUCACUCUGUCGCUACGUAGGCAAAGGACAGGGCAAAGCUUGAUUUAGGUAAAGAAGUUUAAUUUUAUAUUCUAUUUUUUUAAUCUCAUAAUUAGAAUUUCUGACUCUACGUAUGACUGCGAUUGAGAGUUUAACGGAGUUGUGACUAAAACACUAAAAGUGGUGUGAAUGUAAUUAUUAUUGUUGGAUUUAGUCUUAUAUUGAUGGAGGUCAUUGUCAUAUUUUAGGUCAUGUAAUAUGAAAUUUUUGGAAUAUAUAUAUAUUUAUACUGUGUGUGUGAGACACCAAAAGAUAGUCAAAUGCACUAAAUUUUGGUAUUUCUAAGGCUCUACACACACAUAUCUAAGGUUCUACACACACAUAUAUAUAUAUUGUGUGUGUGAGAGAGACCAAAAGAUAGUCAAAUGUACUAAAUUUUGGUAUUUCUAAGGUUUUACGGAAGGAUCAGAUCAUAUUAAGUUUAUUAUCAUACACAAUGAUUUUAUCUUACAUUUUCAUGAGAGAUUCUUUUUUUGCAACUUGAAUCAAUCUCUUUUUUAUCACGUCACGUCAGACUUUAGCUGUUAUAUCGAUGCUUCUAUUCAUAUACCAAAAAUCGAAGAUAGAUUAAAACGCAGUCACUACGCGUGGAAUCUAAAAAGUGUACUCGAACUACAUUAAGUGACUAUUUUCAUAGUUUGAACCGUAUUUUUCUCAUUAAGGAGGAUGUGAUAUACUAUAUAUAUACCUUGAUUGAUAUAUGAAAAUGACCUUUAAUUAUUCUAUCACACAUUUUCCAUGUGCUUUUUACUUGGAAUCAUUUUGAAAAAUAAAUUAAGCAAAACAAAACAAAAGGUCAAAAACUAUAAUAAGUGUUCAUCUAUUUUUAAUCAGAUGUCUCGAGUUUGAAUUCUGAAUAUGAAAUCAUCUAAUUAAAUCGUUCUCGCGAAUGCAUUGCCCCUCGAUUAUCCAAUACAAGUUCAGAUCAAUCUGACCCCAAAAUAAAUAUCAAACAUUGAAAGAAACCAUAAAAUAAAUGUAGCACAUUAUUUAUAUUAGCAACUCUAAAAUAAAAGAAAAUUAUUGUAAUUAUAUAAAGACAAAUCUAGGAAAAAGAAAAGAAGGUGGAAUAUAUGUUUCAACUUUUUAUCUUCACGUGGUACAUGAAUUUGUUCUUAAAGGAAAAUAUUCUACAUAUCUCUUUUUUAAAAAAAAAAAAAAUUAGCUUAAUUUAGUUAAAAUUGUGCAAAAGUAAUAAGAUAAAAUAGUUCAAUUAAUGGAAAAUAAAAUUAGUUAUAAAGAUGUUUAAAGUGACAUUGAUAUCGAGCUAGUGACAAGGUUUACGUACACUGUAUUAUUCCCAAACCCUACUUGUGGAAACAUCAAUAUCGAAUUGAAAGUGAACCAUCAAAGACUAUAGUCGAGCGGUAAGUGCUCUUUCAUCUUUGAUUUGAGGUCUUGGAUUUGAGUCGUACGUAGGUACCAAGUCGCCUUUGGUAUGACCUAAGUCGCCUUCAGUCGAGUCCUAAAAUGAAUACCGAAGUUUAUGUACACUCUACCUUCUCCAAACCCCACUUGUGAAAUUUUACCAGGUAUAAUAUUGUUGUUGUUCAACAUCAAUAUCGAAUUGAAAGUAAACCAUCAAACACCAUAGCUUAGUGGUAAGUACUCCUUUGUCUUUGAUUAGAGAUCUCGAAUUUGAGUCGCACGUAGGUACUAAGUCGUCUUUGGUAUGACCUAAGUCGCCUUUACUCGAGUCCUAAAAUGAAUAUCGAGGAAGACCAUAGCCAUGCAGUAAGUGCUCUUUCAUUUUUAAGUUGAGGUCUCGAAUUUGAGUCGUAUGCAAGUAUCAAGUCGCCUUUGAUAUGAACUAAAUCGCCUUUAGUCGAGUUCUAAAAGAAAUACUGAAUGUUAAACUAGAAACAAAAAGAAACUUAAAGUAAGAUACAUAUUUACUUUAGGAAUUUAAAACACAAAUUAAUUAUUAAAACUUUAUAGUUUGAAAGCAACUCAAAAAAAUGGGGACACACAAGCAAGUUAAAAUUCCACAAAGUCCUAAGAAAAUGGCUUUUCAAAGCCACGCUUGGGGAGAAAAUUUUUGAAGACUUUUUUGUGUCCACUAUGGUCAUGGUCAUGUUCAUAGGCGGAUUCAGAAUUUAAUGUUUACGAGUUCCACUUUUAAGGUUCUUAGAAUUAUAUUUGCUCGUAAAAUGUACGAGUUCGAAUAUAGUAUCUGUUGGUGUUUUAGUGUAUUUUUAUGUGUAUAUAUGUAUCUAUACUUUGUGUUUUGAAAAAUACCGUAUUCAGGUGAACGUUUGUUAGAGACAAAGCUAGGAUUUCGAUUUGAAACAAGUUUUUGGAUUCUUGAUUAGUUAUUUAUACAUAUAUUAAGUAGAUUUUAUCAAACAUAAAUACAACGUCUACUUCAGAAUUAUUGAGUUCUGUCAAACACAUACUCAACAUGCUAUCUUUGCUCCAUCGCUACAUCGGCAUUAAUCAUGUCCCUAUCGAUAUUAAUUCACUACUAAAACAACGUGAAUUUUUGAUAAUUUUUUUUUUUAUAUUAAUCCAUUGGAAACGUUUCCAAAGUAUGGGAUUUUGGAUGGCUUCAUGAUAAGAUUCAUAAUUUGAUAAUAUAUUAUCCGACCUGACACGAAACAAGUCAAGUGGGACAUAUUCCUCUUACAAAUCUUUGAAACUUCACUCAAUUUCGGAAUAGAAUUUUUAAAGAUUUUUUUUUGUUAGAUGAUAAGUCACUUUCCAAAAUAUACAUUGUUACAAAAUGGAUGGCAUGUGGUGCUACACAUUUCUUGUUUAUUGGCUAAGAUAGCCUAGUUGAGAAUACUCAAUCACUUAGAAUUAUUAAAAAAAAAAAAGAAAAAAAAAAAAAGAAGUUUGGAAGUUACAAAUAUGUUUUUGCAUAUAGGUUCAAGUGGGUUCAUCGAAAAAUUACACUAUAUAUAUAUACGUAUAUAUAAUCGAUUUUUACAGAGGCGAACCCAGGAUUUGAAGUCUGUGGGUGCACCAGUGUUGUCAAAGAAACGCAUAAGCCUCGAAGUAAGACUCAAAAUGUGUUGAGCGCUCGCCUCGCUUAAUGUGCAACUUAGGUUCUAAUUUCUAAUACAUACUUUCCCUUGUCAAUGAGGCUUUCUGAGGAGACGAACACUAAACAAUUGAUAUUUCACUUUAUAAAAAAAAAAAAAUUUUUUUGUUCAUAUAUUUGUCAUUCAUUUUUAUAUUAUUAGUCUUGAACUAGACAUAUAUUUAUAUCUUUUCUACCUUUAUGCCUUUUUUCGUUAAAUCUCACGCUUUAUUUGUACUUUGUGUUUAAACACAAUAGACUUGAAGCUUUUUUACGCUUAUUGCUUCUGAUAAUAUUAUGGAGCACCAAUAUUAGCUUAAGACGUUAAAAAAACUUUCGGUAUCGAUUAAGGAAUAUUAUCAUAUUCAGUUGGUCACUAAAGGCACGAAAAAUACUGAAAAAAUAAAUAUAUAGAACAAAUAAGAGUUUUAAGCUAAUAACUUUACUUUCUUAUAAUAUGUAGUUUACUUUUAACAUUUUAAAACAAUAUGUUGUGGUAGCUCAAUGGUCUAGGAGGGUUCUCCUUACUGACUAAUCGCGCGAGUUCAAAUCCCCAUUCCAACAAUUUUGUUGUUAUAAAUUUAGUAAUAAGAGUAUUGAAAAUAAAAACUAAGGUGUUGUGUGACCCGAGAUCGAUUCCUGGUCGCAUGGACGGAAGGGCUAGCUUCAACCAGCGCACCAAAUUGCACUACCAUUCAUCUUAGGGUGCACUAUUAACUAUAUCCCAAUUUCUCAAGGUAUAUACACAUACACAAUUUUUUUCGAGUUAACGAGUACACGUGCACCCCCACCUAUACAUGUGGGUCCGCCCCUGGGUUUUUAUAGAUUUAAAAAAUAUAUACAUUAAAUAUUGAACCCAUUACAGAAAAUCCCGACAUUUUGCAUAAUUAUUGAAAAUCUCAAUUUUGAAUCUGUCGAGAUACAAAAUUAGCUUCCAAUACAUCCAACGAAGAUACAUUUUUUUUCUGUGUAGAGAUACAUAAUUAGCUUCCAAUGUAUUUUUUUUCGAUUUUGCGUCUGUCGAGAUACUUACUUAGUUCCCGAUACAUCCAACGAAGAUUUAAACUCUUCUUCUGAUAGUAGUUGUGCAUAAAAAGUGUGUCGAGGGUCUAUCGAAAACAAGGUGGGGUAAGAUUUACGUAAAAAAAAAAAAAAACACUUACAUUAUCGACACUCGAGAAAUUCUCAACCCAUGGUGCACGGUUAGGAACUCGAUGAAUAAUAGGCUUGCCCCCUUGAACCCGUGAUGUGAGCCUCAAUCACACAUCACAUCAUCUGUCGUGACAUGCGCCUAACUCACACAUCAUGCAUACGGCUUUCCUUACCGUUAAUCCAAAUAACAACAUAUCGAGUAUAUUUCCACAUAGUGUAGUGGAGUCUGGAGAGGGUAGAAUGUACGCAGUCCGUACCAAUACCUCUGAGGCGAGGUAGAGAGGCUGUUUCCGAUAGACCCUCGACUCGAGACCAAACUUUAGUGCCACAAAUAUUGGAAUAUUCUAUUUCAGUAGAAUAUCCAAUGUCAAAGUGGCAUUAAAUUUGUGACUGUAAUAAGCCACUAAAUGGAACACAUUACAAGACCACCUAAAAGUACAACACAGGCAUAACUAGAUUCUGAAUAUGAUGGGACAGCAAGAUUCCUCUCCACUCUUACUCAGAGGCCUCGGGUUCGAACUUGAACAUGACAUGAAUCUGAAUCAGUCGAGGCUCAAAUGCAGAUAUCAGACAUAGACUAGAAACCAAAAGGAAAAACUCAAACUCAGAAACAAGAAAGAUUAUAGAUAAAGAGGGAUGUGACAUUAUAAAGUUGAGGAGGAAAAUAGUUGGUUGCAGUUAGUGCUCUCUGUAGGCCAAGCAAUUGAGUUAGUUAAAGACUAUAAACAGACUAAUACUGAAUGGACAAGUGUCAGAAUACUAAGUUACCUGUUUUCUUGGGCUUACUUCAAAGCUUGCCACGUCACCGCGUAUAUUAUUGUCAAAAAUCCCAUCCUAAUAGUAAGGAGUCCCACGGCUUUGAUCCGGUGGUAAGAGCAUAACACGUGAUGUAUGAGUUAGGCUCGUGUCACUUAUGUUGCUCGGACUCUUACAGAUGCCGACAGGUGCAUGUUGCAGCAAUUUUGGAGGAUCUGAUAUGAGUAACACAACAUUUUAGGGAGUCCAAGCAAUAUAGCAGCUCGUUCGUUUGAACUGUGUCGCAGUAGGCCCAUGUCAUUUAUGUUGCUCGGACUCUUACAGACACUGACAGGUGCAUUUUGCAGCAUUUUUGGAAGAUCCGCUAUGAGUAACACAACAUUUUGGGGAGUCCAAGCAAUAUAGCAGCUCGUAUUGGUUUGAACUGUGUCGCAGUAGGCCCAUGUCAUUUAUGUUGCUCGGACUCUUACAGAUACCGACAGGUGCAUUUUGCAGCAUUUUUGGAGGAUCCGAUAUGAGUAACACAACAUUUUGGGGAGUCCAAGCAAUAUAGCAGCUCAUUUGUUUGAACUAUGCUGCACGACAAACAAGAGUGAUGUUUAACUGGAAAAGGAUAGAAGGGGUCAUUAUCCAUCGAGUUUCAAACCAAACAUCACUGUCCUCGACCAGGGAUAACUCGGUUAUCAGAAAUAGCAAAAAUAAAAAGAAAGUGGGUUGCCAUCAAUGGUCAUCCCACACCAACUUCCUGACAAAUCUUGAAAUGGAUAUAACUUGUAUCAGUCAUCUCCAAAUAAACAUCAAAAGUCAAAUUUCUCUAGAGCAAUAAAGAUGCAAAUCUCUUAACAUGUUUCUCUUGUCUAAUCACUUCUCUAGAGCAAAAAAAAAACACUGUUUACCAGGCACACCAUGGUGAAAAACUCAGCAUAAACUGUCCUCCUGAGUCGGAACUCAAAUCGGUUAUAUCAUAACAGAGAAAAAUAAUCAAACGUAAGCAGUAAAUUUGUCUAAGAUCAACAACAACAACAUAGCCACUGUAUUCCCACAUAGUGGGGUCUGGGGAGGGUAAAAUGUAUGCGGUCCAUACCAUUACCUCCGAGGAAGUAAAGAGGCUGUUUCCGAUAAAAUUUGUCUAAGAUCAAGAAGCAAAACUGAGAUCAAACCAGCAACAUAUUAUAUUGCAUUUAUUCCUCUUUUGCUAUUUGCGAAAAAAGAAACCUGGUGUGGCGAGACCAUAACAGUAUUAAAUCACAAAGUCGAGCUAGUGAACAAGUACGAACUUCAUCCCCUACCCCCUCACCCCCAAACCAAAAUCAAGGUCAGUUAUAGGUGGUAUACUCGCGGCGGGCAAGACUUGAAACCUGGACGACAUAGGCUUAUGGUAAAAGACCAAGAGAGCUGCGUAAGGUUUUCCUUGGUUGUAUAGCACUUGAAUGUGGCUCUAAAAAAGGGCAGUUUCGUGUACGUUGCAUCCAGCCGGGGUGGGGUGGGGGGUAAUGUAGGGAGCGGAUACAAGCAUAUGCUUCAAGGUUGUAUAACAAUGCAGAAGAAUGAAUACAAUCUUCAUUUGACAGCAUCAACAGAUAAUUGGCUAGAGCAACUGAUAUUGCACUUGUACAUAUAGAUAUGAUCCUUCUUUACAUAUUUGAAUCACAAAUUUUAAUCUAUCAUAUUUCUUUAUGAUGGUAGCGUCCAAGUCAACUUGUGCGCACCUCGGAUAUCCCACCAAAUACCUGCUACGUCCCACCAGGUGAGCACAGGUACCGCGUAACUUCGCCCGCCGAAGCUUAGGGGUAUGAGAAUAAAGCACCUCGUUUUUCGCCUCCGCAGGGAGUUGAAACUGACGCCUCAUGGUUCUCAUACCACCUCAUUGACCACUAGGCCUCACCCUUGGAUACACAAAUUUUAAGAACAGCUAAAAUUCCAUUGAGCAUACUUUAGUACUUGCACUGAUCCAAGCAAAAUUUACAUGAAAACUUGAACACUCAAUUCCGCGAGCAAGUUUCGACAGUACAAAUCCUACAACGCCUGGUAUAACCUAAACUCAAGAUUACAUAUUCAAGAACAAAUACAAUCAUAUAUCCCUCAUCGUUUUCAAUGUAUAAUUGCGCAAAUUAAAAGGGUCUUCUCCGCACUGUCACUGAUUGAAAAAAUCCUGGUACUUCUAAGAAUUAAACCUGACCUUUCUAUAUUCUCGUCAAGAUUCCCUAACGGCAGAUACCUUCAGCUUCUUGGGUGGCGGAUUCCCCCCUGACAAUACCACGUAAGAGUAGAAGCAAAACAUUGCAGCACUGUCAAUUCAGAAAGCAGAAUUCAGAUAAUGAUACACCUCAUAAUGAAUUUUCAAGAGGAGAAGCACCAAAUACGGCAUUGCAUUACCUGAUAGCGGCAUAAAAGCCAGUGGGAAAUACUUUUCUCGUCUGCAAAAAAAACGAAAAUUAUCAAUUUGAAAAUGCAAGCCACUGAAUAAUCUAAUGGAGGACUUUCGGAGUACAAGGAACUACCAGAGAGAAAGUCUGUAUGUUUUUCCAUAGAAGGACUGCAGUAAGCGCUGCAGGACAAUAGCAGGGAAGUCAUUAAUAGCUGGAGAGACAGUAUAGAUUGAACAUCCACUAGGCUGGACGUAUUGAAGUCAACAACAACCAACUAAACACGAUAUUGAAAUAUUUGGUAUAUGAAGCCACGAUCUGAUACAUAUACAUCGAAAUCUACCACUGUUCUUCACUUGUUUCAACAAAUGUGGCAAGCAAAGAGAGGGAGAAAUAGAAACAAACAUUAUUCAUUUGACGGUUCAUUUCAAACAGCUACCGAAUCCGAUUUUACUGAAGUACCUGUCCUCAAGUGGUUUUAAGCAUAUCCGUUAUCUGAUUCAUAAAAAUAUCUAUCAACCGAUUAAUAUAUGCAUACAAUUCGUCUUUCCUGUCUCUGACUUCCCAUAUUGACAAAAUAUUAGUGUUCAUUGAAAAGAACGAGUUACUACUCAGAAAAAAGAAUGCAAAUAUAAGGCUGACGUAAAAUGUUAAACACUAAAAUCCGAUAGGGAUCACACUCAAAGAAAACAUUCCUUUUUCAUCAGCAAACUAAAGUUAGUCCAACUGCACGCACGAUAACAAUCAACUUACAGGAAACCAGCAAAUACCUGCUUGACCCAGUAUGAACGGCAAGCUCGAUUUUCCUUGUCUCCAGACCCUCAAGCUAAUGGUGCUGAAGGCCAGUAAAGCACCUCCAAAAAGAACACCAUUACUUAAAGUCGCAGGGUUUCUUGAGAAAAUUAAACCAACAAUGCCCCCAGUGAAAACAAGACCACCUGUGAUGAGGAUCAUUAAAGUACUUAUUAAUCAUAAUAAGCAAGAAGCUGCAAGAGUUAUAAACACCACUGUGAUAAGAAAUUAUAGGUACGACAGAAACACAAUAGAAAUGUUUGCGGUCAUUUUGAUCUCCUUAUUUAUUGUUACUUGACAUCUUUCUGUCAAAAUAGAUGGUUCCACUUGAUCGAGAACUAAUUUUUUCUGGGAAGACGAUCCUCUUAGCGUCCUAUAGCUUUGAAGAAAUUGAUGUUCUAAACUGAAACAACCGAUAUCUCAGCGCUUAAAAACCACAAGUCCCAUUUAUAUACAGCAAGAGAAGGAGCUAACAGAAGUGUUUCUUUUAACAAAAAGACACCUACCCUCCAUUAAAGUAGUUACCUAACUCCUAAGUGCUGCAUAAGCAAAAGAAAACAACAAGAUGCUAGCACUUUUAGUUAGUUCCCCCUCAUAAGCCCUUUCAUUCUUCUCGAUUUGGACUCCUACUGUAAUAGUUGAAGGGAGUGAACUAAAGUAUAUCGCAAGAAUGGUUGGCAACAUAAUCAUCCUUUGUCUUUACUUUAAUCGGUGAUCAUAGAAUAUAAAGAGAGGGGGAUUAAAAAGGAAAAUAAAACAAAUAGAGAAGACACAGACACGUCUCUUAAAGAAUAAUAGAAACCACUAGAAUAGUAGAAUUCACAUUUGGACAAGGGGUGAACCUAAAAAGGGUAAUUAGUAGAUAAGGUGGCAAAUAAUGCAAUCUAGUUUACGCCAUUUGAAUUUUAAGCACUAUCGUGAAAAGUGCAACAAGUGAGAAUACCUUGACAGAGAAAUGAACGGUUGGCGAUAUCAAGCACUAAAAAGGCAUUAGUUUCUUGACUUUUUUGAGGAAAUACUCACCAAAGGGAAUACCAAAACAGAAAUCAUGAAUUUUGGCCGUCUUUAUUGAAUGACCGAUGGAGUUUUCUUGCACCGAACCAUUCAUUUCUUUUCCUGGAACAAGUUCUUCUGACUUUAAUUUUGAAGUGGAUGAGCUUCCGUUAUGUGAUUGUGAUGCAUCUCUAGUAUAAGCUAUAGUGGUUCUGUUUUCUAAAUUGGAUAAAUCCAUGUCAUGGCCAUCAUUUCUCACAACCGCUACCUGAACUCCAUGACAAAUGGAAGAUCUGUAAGUGAAUAUACAUUCCGGAUAGCGUGUCGCUCAUUCCACAAAUCCAAACUUCAGAAAAAUAACGGAAAGUCCAGUUCAAAUAGCAAUAGAAAACUAAAAGCAUUAUCAUUUUGGAAGUCAAAUGCCACAUGUUAACCAAUAAAUCACCAAAUUGCUUUCAACAAACAAAGGAGAGGGAAAAAAAUAUGGAAAAACAAAAGAUUUACAUGUUAGUUUCAUAAAGACAUCCAAAUGUAGUCAAAAGGUUCUCUACCAUACGUACUACGAAGUUAAAUGGUUCCAUCUUCAGUCGGCUUUGAUAUGAUUAGUGAGAAAAACGUCCUCUAUUACUAGUAGCCGGCUAGCCACAAGAGAAUAUUAAAGUAAGUUUAUAGAGAAACAUCAACUUGGAGUUUAAAAUGUGAAUAGUUAAAUGAAUUUGAUUUCUUACAAAUUGUGAAUGAAGUAUAGAAUUCUGAGGUACACGCAAACUAGCCCGAAGACUACCUACUUCGCAUUAGGUUGAGAAAAUGGAUCCAAAUUAAAUAGAGCAGAUAUAGAGGAUUCACACUACUAACCCCACCUGACUUAUAGCCAACCCAAAUGAUUUAGAAUGAACGUAUAGCGGAUUGGCACGAUUCCUACAUUAAAGUCAAGCUUAAUAUUACAACACCAUAUGUAAUUCUAAGCUCGACAAGUAUGUGCUCAUAUUCUGCCUAAUAACUACACAGGAUAUAAUCCUACAAGUGGUAUCUGGGGAGGGCGAAUGUACGUAGAGCUUGCCCUAUCUUUGGGGAGUAGAGAAGCUAUUUACGAUAGACCCUCGGCUCAAAAGAACUGUUUCCGGAAGCAGGAAUGCAAGAAUUAUAGGAGAGCAAAAUAGCAAGUGAAGCAACAAGUAGUAACACACAUUGACGAAUAAGAGACCAUGUGACUACUAAAUAGUCCAUACCUCUCCCACACAAAGUGCGAUAAUACUCCACUACCUACUAGCCUUCCACCCUAAUUCUCGACCUCUAAACCUUCCUACUUUUGCUCAAUAAGCUAAAGUUGUGUCAUGUCCUGUCUAAUCACUUCCGUCAAAUUCUUUUUUGGUUUACCUCUAUCUCUCCUAACUCCUGUUACAACCAAUCUCUCACCCUUCCUUAGUCGUUGUCCUUACUGACGCACCUCCUCUUUACAUGCCAAAACCAUCUCAGGAUAACCAGAAAAAAUAAGUAUUUUAUUAAUUUUUCAAUGUCAGAAUGUGGUUGGCAAAGAAUUACCAUUAGCCUCUUGAACUAAUACCCAUUGAAAAGCCACACUCAACUUUCAUGAUCAAUCCAUCUCUCAUUUGCAAACCAUGAAAAGAACACAUUUUGACCAAAAAGAUCAAUUUUUUAACUAAAUUAACAGAACCCCACAUCAAAAUUUCAUCAAAUUCUUUCCUUUUAUAGACAAACAAACAAGAAUAACCACACUCAACCUUCACUGAAAACCAUGAAAUGAACAUAUUAUGACCGAAACAAAAACAAAAUUUUAACCAAAUUAACAGAACCCCACAUCAAGAAUUCAUCAAAUUCCUUCCUUUUCUUUCUGGGAUUUCUUCAACUUCUCUCUUCACAUCAAGAAUUCAUCAAAUUCCUUCCUCAUUGCAAACCAAACACCAAUAAAGCAAACACUCAAUAAACAAUACUAAAAAAAUACUACUAGUCUCUCUCGAGAACUAAAACCCAUUGAAAAGCCAAACUCAACCUUCAUGAUCAAUCCAUCUCUCAUUUGCAGACCAUGAAAAGAACACAUUUUGACCAAAAAGAUCAAAUUUUUAACCCAAUUAACAGAACCCCACAUCAAGAAUUAAUCAAAUUCUUUCCUUUUAUCUCCAACAAACAAGAAUAACCACACUCAAUCUUCACUGAAAACCAUGAAAAGAAACAUUUUGACCAAAAAGAUCAAUUUUUUAAACCAAAUUAACAGAACCCCACAUCAAGAAUUCAUCAAAUUCCUUCCUCAUUGCAAACCAAACACAAAUAAAAGCAAACACUCAAUAAAAAACAUCUAAUUCCUCAAUUACAAACUACACAUAAAUGAACAAUUCAAUACAAGAUAAUGGAUUAAUCAAUCAAUAAAUAAAUAUAAAUAAAAAAUUGUACCUUCCUAGGAAGAGUAGAACAAGGGUGUAGAUAAGUUUGUAACAGAAAAUUUUUAUUGAUAGAGGAGAAGCAUGAGAGCUGAGAAAUUGUUGAUGACAUUCUUGAUUCACUUUUAAUUUUUUUUUUUUUUUGAGAAAAUAUUGGAAUAUUCAAAGUUGCGUUUUUAUAUGAAUUUAAAAAAAAGUGAAAAAUGGUUUGAGACUUGGGACUAUAGAGGCAUAUUUAAUACUUUAGGUACUUUAAUAGACAUUAGUGUUUUUAACAUAUUUGGCGGUUCGAUCAAAAUUAAUUAGACAUAACACGUAAAUGUGUCAUUUAAUUUAGCAUAGGUGACACCUAUGGCUUUCAACUACGGUGUGCUAAGUAGGCAAUUAAAUUUGUAUUAAGUUCAACAGGUAGACGCAUGCAUGCUAGGGGACAUCCACGGGGUAAUUCACGUGAGAUUGCUAUGUAGAUGCCAUAUAAAUAUCACGUAGGACGCAUGUGUCUACUUGUUCAACUUUAUACAACUUUAUGUAUAUACAUACUUGUACACCGUCAAAGUUGACGAAUGCAGGUGUCAGCUGAAAUCAAGUUAAAGGCAUGCUUACGUAUGAUGUUUUGAUUAUCAUCACAUAUUAAAAAUCGUAAACUUCAAAUUCUAAAUCAGACUCAAUCAAUAUACAACACCCUUGAUUGGUGCUAUCUUUUGAAUGCCAAACCAAUUCUAUGUAUACAAGUGUUUCUUUGGAUAUUCUUUUUUAGUCAUAUUUUGAAAUUUCUACUAUUAUAUAGUCCAAAAAUUACUAUACUAAUUGCUGUUAAGGGGCUGCUAGUUAAGAAAAUUCAAUGUCAUUUUGAUUAAGUAACUAAAGGAUUUGUAGACUUUUCAAACUUAGUGAAAUAAGUCCAAACUUUUAUCUCGUAGGUGUAAUUUCUAGAUAACAUAAUUCAAUUUGUUUGUUUAUGUUUUUUUUCCACAGAUUGAUUUGACUUUACAAUAGCAAAUUUUCUAUAUAAAUGGUAAGUUUUUUUUAGUUUCUUUUAACCAUGGCUAUCACAAAAUCACAUUUUAUUUUCAUUUUUGUUCUCUUUGGUGUAGCUACCUUGGAUUUUACAGGUAUAGUACUAUAAUUUCUGUUUAUAGUACAAUCACUCUUGUGUUUAAUGUCAACCUCUCUACUUCUUUGGAGGUAGUGGUAUGACAUGCGUACAUUCUAGCCUCCCCAGACCACCACUAUGUGGAAAUAUACUGGGUUUGUUGUUGUAGUAGAAUCACUCUUGCUAUUUCGGAUCGCGCUUGAGGGCUAGCAACCAUGUUACACAUACAAUUUGAUGUAGGCAUAAUACAUAAGCAUGCCCGUUAACUUGGCAUCAGUUCACAUCUAUGAUCUUCAACAAUGGAUGUGCAAAGGUAGACAAUUAAACUUGUAUAAAGUUGAACAAGUAGACACAUGCGUCCUAUGUGGCAUAAUACACAUAGGACAUGAAUUGAUUACGUAGGAUGUUACAUAGGACGCAUGUGUCUACUUGUUCAACUUUAUACAAGUUUAAUUGUCUACUUGUGCACACACAAAGCUAGAUAGCAUAGAAGUCGCUUGUCAGCUGAAUCAAACGUUAAAGGGAACAUGUAUGUAUUGUGCCUUUGUUGGUGCUUCGAUUCCGUUGUCUUUUUGCUUUCUCCACCUUGAUUUAUUUUUGUUUGUUGUUAAUCCUUUGUUUCCUGCUAAUGGCUUUCUUCUGGGUCACUUGUGGACUCAUUUGACUCUGCUGCAUAUUUUGUUCAUCUGAUUUUCGCAUAUUAGAAUGAGCAUCCAAGGGCACUCAAAUUGAGAGGGUGCUAUUUUAUGUUUUGCUAAUCUUGGUUAACAUAAGCUGAUCCAAGCCCUUAUGACCUUAGGAUUCAUAACUCAAAUUUCACACUACACCGGAGCUCAAUCAACUAUAUCAUGGCGGGAGGAGACCCACUCAGUGAUUUGCCCAGGUCGAUCCUACUUUACAUCCUCUCAAUGUUGCCCAAUGGAAAACAAGUUGUGAGAACCAGCGUAUUAUCCAGACGGUGGAGGUUUCUUUGGAAUUCCGUUCCACUAUCACUCAAUUUCGAGUUUCCUAAUAGAGGAAGCAUCGAGUCAACUCUUGAUUACGUAACUUCCAUCCACAGAGAACUUUAUUAUUUGAGGUCUUGCGAGAAAAUCCGGAAAUUCAGGGUAUUGCUCUAUAGGUACGAUGAGCGUUAUGCUAAAGAUGUUGAUUUGUGGGUACAUUUUGCUACUAAAGUUGCUAACGUUAAAGAUUUUGAACUCAUCAUGAGUGGCCAAAUAUAUGAGAUGCCAAAGUUCGCGUAUAUGAAUACAUACUUGAGAAAUUUGGUUUUAUGGGGCUGCCAACUAAACCCUUCUGGUAGUUUGAACUGGAGUAGUCUCGUUUCUCUUAGCAUUGUCUGACAGAAGAAUUUGACGGAAGAAGUCCUGGAAAAGGUAUUAUCUGGUUGCCCCAACUUGGAGUGCUUGGAACUGGAUACUAUUAGGGGCAGGUGGCAGAGCAGUUGGCGUUUGGAAAUCAGCUCUGUGAAGCUACGAAAAUUGAUCAUACAAGAUGACUAUGUUCAGAAUCCUGACUUUUGGUUCGAAAUAUUAGCCCCCUAUGUUCACUGUUAGGAAGUUUUGAAUUUCUGGGGUGAGUUAUGCUUGCAGCAGAGAAAUGUGCCUUCACUUGUUACUGCAGUCCUUCGUUUAAAUUUUUAUUCCGGCAUGGGGAACACAACUUGGAUAAGGAAUUUAUCUAUUUGAAGGGACUUCUUCACAGUGUUGCCCAUGUCAAGAACCUUGAAUUGAGUCCUUGGUGCAUCCAGGUUUAUUCAUACUCUUCAUUCUCUAAUAUUCAGAAUCUAUUUUGGUUUUGGGACUUUUUAUUUUCUAUUGAAUUGUCUGUUUAAUAACAUUAACAGUGCCGCCACUAAAGAUAAUUUCAUAACUAAGUCGAUAAGUACUAAGGAGUUACGUUGUCAUGGCUCAUCAAGCUAGGACUUACAACAACAACUUGAUUAAGCACGUGAAGGGAGGGAGUCCUAAAAGACCUUCCGGUCCAAUAGAGACCUACAUUUUUGAUCUAUUCAACGAAGAUCAGAAGAACCCUGAAAUCGCGAAGCAUAUUGGACUAUUUUUAGCAAACAUGCAACCAAAGUAUCAGAUCAGCUUUAACUAGUUAAAAAGAUGAGCGCAUAAAAAAGAAUAAAGGACUUUCCUAUGUAUGUAUGUAAGUUUGAAUAACAAUUUCAUCUUCAACUGAAAGUAGCCUAUUGGCAUUGUGUACUUACGAGUUACAGUAAUGAAACACCUAUCUUCGCACUAGUGUAUCACGAAGGGAAGUGUAAGAGUAACGGUAAAGUUGUUUCCUUGUGACAUACAGGCCACAAGUCUUAAGUCGUGGAUCACCCACGAAUGCUUGUGCAAGGGUAAGCUGAACCUCACAUAGUAAAACAAACUUAGUUGAAUAGAGGACAUACCUUGGUUUGAACGAUGAAUCGAGAGAAAGAAGGACGUUGCAAUGUAGCAAGCACCGGAGGAAAUUUAUACGCAAAAUUGGAAGUAGAAUCAUUUACAGAAGAAAACCAUCAAACAAAACCAACCAUCACUGCCUCUAACAGACUCAAAACUCUCUGAAGCAUACAAAAGUAGGCGAAAACAAACAAGAAAGGAGAUAUUUUGAACUAUUUACAUGUUUCUGUGAAGUCUGUAAAAGUAUAAAACCAGAAAACAAAACACGACAACACUUCUUUUCCUCGAACUGUUGGAACUAUCGAGCAAUGCAUUAGAAUCCUUUCAAUCUCGGUAAAAUCCUUUUAUAUUUAUAGCUGUCUGCUGAGAGAUUUCACUCUUUUUGCUACUUCUGUUUACUUCACCAUUAUAUGUAGUCCAAGAAGUAUGGUUGAGCAUGUAGGGAGAAUGUGGACCUGAAUAUGUUUCGUGUAACAUUAGUCGUUGCUUUGGUGUGCUCAUCGAUCUCGUCUUUGCUUUUGCAGAUUCUGUAGCAGCCAUGUAAGUAGGAAACAUAGGAGAACUUGGUAAAGAACUAUCAUCACAAACUGAUUUCUGUUUCACAUGAGAAAAUGAUCUCCUUGGUAGCGAAGACGGAGAAUUUAAAUCCUCUGUGACGUCUAGGUUACGCGCUUGUCUCAUUUGGUUCAUGUUAACUAGAGGACUACUCGAGUCUCCAAAUGACCUCAAUUGCUGAAAGAGCUCCGCUUUUCUCUGUGCUUCGAUUUCUGCCCAUUGAUCGAACCUGGAGCUCCUUCGAUUUUCUUUAAAGAUCAAUGGUUCUUGCAUAACGUGAUCAUUUCUUCGCUCCUAAAGGCCAUUUUGAGUUAGUCAACCAUAGAACAUGAUAUAUUCAGUAAAUAUCUGAAAACAGAAACUGAGAAAACCUAAAUGCAAGUGAAGUUACCCGAUGUGAAAAUGAGUAUUUCAUCAUACGCUCUCUUUUGGAAAUGGCUUCUUGUCUUCUUGAAAACAAGGCUUCAAUUUCUUCCUUUGAAGACAAACUGUAAUCCCAAGUCCUUUGGCCGUUGCAUUUUAGCUGCCGAUAAGCAAAACAAAUACGAAUUUAAGUUCAACCGGAGGAUCAAACAAUGAAAAAUUACCUAUGAUAUUAAUUCUCUUACUUGCAGUUCAUUAGAUUUCACAGUUUCCUUCGAGCUAUCAUCAAGUUUCUUUUCGAUACUCUCGUAGUAUUCUUCAACAGUAGGAACUCUGAUAUGAUAAACUCUUGGCUUUGGCAUUUGAAAAGGCAACAUAUACUUCAAUUUGGCAACGAGUCUUCGUCUCACAAGUUCACCUCGAAUCACUGCUUGAAGCUUCACGAGUCCCUUCAAGGCGCUUAACGCUUUCCUUGCCUACAGAAAAUCUCACAGAACCAACAAUUCAAUUGCACAUAAGUGAAUUUCAUCGAAGAAGUGGAAAAUUUUGAAUGCCAACGAGAUUUGAACCAUGAUCUGUCAAUACAAUGUUGAAUUGUGUGAUCAUGUCAUCGGAAAGUUUAAGUUGUUAAAGAGAGAAUAAUUUUAUAUACUCACAAGGUGUGCGCGAUAGGCGGUUUGGAUUCUGACGGCAGCAUUUCUCCGCUUUCUCUCGAGCUCAUAUGGAGCGUUAGUGAGGCGGACAACUUCGGCUGCAGCAUUAGCAGCAGCUACAGCAGCCUCAGCUGCAGCUGCUGUUGCUAAAGCAACAGCCAUAGCAUGUUUCUUCUGUUGUUCGGUUGCCUCGGUUAGCGUCUUUUGAGGUGCUUCAAUUGCUGGAGGACACUGCUUGAACUUGAACCUUCCCAAAAACCAUUUCCAUCUCUUUGGUUUCUGAAAAGAGAAUACAAAUCAUUGGAAUCAGUUCUUAACAGAAAAGGGAAAAUCAAGAAAGGGCAGUGCAGCCUGGUGCACGAAGCAUCCCGCGUUCACCUAGAGUCCUCCAAGGGAGUCAAAAUCCUACCUUAACGCGCAACAGCUCGGAUCCAUGAACUAUAUUUUCACAUUCAUGUUAUAAAUCAUAUGAAUGGAAGCCUUGGAGCAACGUUAAAAUUGUCUCCGCAUGACCUAUUUCGAGCUGUGAAAUCAACCACUGAUACAUGGUUCAGGGUACGUAGACUGCCUACUUCACACCCCCUUAGGCAUCCCUUCCCCGAACCUACGGGAACACGGGAUGCUUCAUUCUGCCCUUUGUUUCAUGCUAUAAAAUCAAGAAAGGGCAGUGCACCCUGGUGCACGAAGCAUCCCGCGUUCACCUAGAGCCCUCCAAGGGAGUUACUGUAGGCAGUCAAAAUCCCACCUUAAUGCGCACCUAUAUUUUCACACGCAUGUUAUAAAUCAUACGAAUGGAAGCCUUGGAGCAACGUUAAAGUUGUCUCCGCAUGACCUAUAUGACACGGUUUCAAGCCAUGGAAUCAACCACUGAUAAAUGGUUCAGUGUACGUAGACUGCCUACAUCACACCCCCUUAGGCAUCCCUUCCCCGAACCUACACGAACACAAGAUGCUUCAUUCUUUCCUCAACCAACACUCAACACACAAAAAAAGGGGGGAGAAAUCAAGAUCUCAAGAAGUUGAAAAACAAACAAACCUUUUCAGCUUUUGGUUUUGCCUCAGGAAUGAAAAGUAGUCUUUUCACAAAUGUAAACCAGCUUCUUCUCUUUCCCAUUUUAACAAUUCACCAAAUUGAUUCAUCAAAACAACAAUGCCAUUGCCAUUUGCCACCACCUUCUUUUGUAAACAGUCACCUUAUUCUUGAUAAAAAAAAAAUAGAUAAUCUCUUUGAGUUGGCAAUUCUAUUUGUUUCAAUAAAAACAAAUAGUUCCAAGAGAGAAACAAACAAACUUUAUUCACAUCAGCAAUAUUAUUCAAUUACUAUAAAGCCAUAAGAGAGAAAAAAAACAAGAAAUUGAUCAAUUUCACUUCUCUUGCAUAAUCAUGAACAAGAAGACAUUCUUGUGACCAACAAGGCUUGUGGGGUUUUGAGAUAUGAAGUCACCUUUGUUAGAGAGCGUUUUAACUCUAAAGGCAGCGGCGGAGCCAGGAAUUUGACGAAGAGUAUGCAAAUUUUCUUCUCAGUUGUGUUAAGAGUAUAUAUGCAAAAUUAAAUAGACACUCAUAGUAACUAACAUAUAGUGUGAAUAAUGUUGAUGAUGUUUCUAUUGUACCAUGUGGCUACAUCUUUAAGGUACAUGUCUUCUCUUUCUCUCUAUAUAUAACAAUAAUAAUAAUAAAGUCUUUCACUAAUUAUAUUUGGGAAGCAUACCAUGUGCUAAUGGAAAAUAAACAACAAAAGUGAAAUAAAGCUUUAAAAGAUAAUUGAAUUUUCAAUUAUGUAGACUUUUGCUAGUACUUGACUUGUGACUUUAGGAAGUCCCUUGAAUAAGGGUCAUGUUGUUUUCUCCUCUUUAACAACCCCCCCCCCCCCCUCCCCCUUUUAAAAAUUUUUCUUUCCUCUAUCUCUAUGAGGUAGCGGUAAGGUCUAUGUACACUCUAUUCUCCCCCCAGACUCCACUUUCUGGGAUUUCACAAGGUACGUUGUUGUUUAUGUGUAUCUCGAUGGGCCGAGGAUCUUUCGGAAACAAUCUCUCUAUCUCUAUGAGGUAGCGGUAAGGUCUAUGUACACUCUAUUCUCCCCCCAGACUCCACUUUCUGGGAUUUCACAAGGUACGUUGUUGUUUAUGUGUAUCUCGAUGGGCCGAGGAUCUUUCGGAAACAAUCUCUCUAUCUCUAUGAGGUAGCGGUAAGGUCUAUGUACACUCUAUUCUCCCCCCAGACUCCACUUUCUGGGAUUUCACAAGGUACGUUGUUGUUUAUGUGUAUCUCGAUGGGCCGAGGAUCUUUCGGAAACAAUCUCUCUAUCUCUAUGAGGUAGCGGUAAGGUCUAUGUACACUCUAUUCUCCCCCCAGACUCCACUUUCUGGGAUUUCACAAGGUACGUUGUUGUUUAUGUGUAUCUCGAUGGGCCGAGGAUCUUUCGGAAACAAUCUCUCUAUCUCUAUGAGGUAGCGGUAAGGUCUAUGUACACUCUAUUCUCCCCCCAGACUCCACUUUCUGGGAUUUCACAAGGUACGUUGUUGUUUAUGUGUAUCUCGAUGGGCCGAGGAUCUUUCGGAAACAAUCUCUCUAUCUCUAUGAGGUAGCGGUAAGGUCUAUGUACACUCUAUUCUCCCCCCAGACUCCACUUUCUGGGAUUUCACAAGGUACGUUGUUGUUUAUGUGUAUCUCGAUGGGCCGAGGAUCUUUCGGAAACAAUCUCUCUAUCUCUAUGAGGUAGCGGUAAGGUCUAUGUACACUCUAUUCUCCCCCCAGACUCCACUUUCUGGGAUUUCACAAGGUACGUUGUUGUUUAUGUGUAUCUCGAUGGGCCGAGGAUCUUUCGGAAACAAUCUCUCUAUCUCUAUGAGGUAGCGGUAAGGUCUAUGUACACUCUAUUCUCCCCCCAGACUCCACUUUCUGGGAUUUCACAAGGUACGUUGUUGUUUAUGUGUAUCUCGAUGGGCCGAGGAUCUUUCGGAAACAAUCUCUCUAUCUCUAUGAGGUAGCGGUAAGGUCUAUGUACACUCUAUUCUCCCCCCAGACUCCACUUUCUGGGAUUUCACAAGGUACGUUGUUGUUUAUGUGUAUCUCGAUGGGCCGAGGAUCUUUCGGAAACAAUCUCUCUAUCUCUAUGAGGUAGCGGUAAGGUCUAUGUACACUCUAUUCUCCCCCCAGACUCCACUUUCUGGGAUUUCACAAGGUACGUUGUUGUUUAUGUGUAUCUCGAUGGGCCGAGGAUCUUUCGGAAACAAUCUCUCUAUCUCUAUGAGGUAGCGGUAAGGUCUAUGUACACUCUAUUCUCCCCCCAGACUCCACUUUCUGGGAUUUCACAAGGUACGUUGUUGUUUAUGUGUAUCUCGAUGGGCCGAGGAUCUUUCGGAAACAAUCUCUCUAUCUCUAUGAGGUAGCGGUAAGGUCUAUGUACACUCUAUUCUCCCCCCAGACUCCACUUUCUGGGAUUUCACAAGGUACGUUGUUGUUUAUGUGUAUCUCGAUGGGCCGAGGAUCUUUCGGAAACAAUCUCUCUAUCUCUAUGAGGUAGCGGUAAGGUCUAUGUACACUCUAUUCUCCCCCCAGACUCCACUUUCUGGGAUUUCACAAGGUACGUUGUUGUUUAUGUGUAUCUCGAUGGGCCGAGGAUCUUUCGGAAACAAUCUCUCUAUCUCUAUGAGGUAGCGGUAAGGUCUAUGUACACUCUAUUCUCCCCCCAGACUCCACUUUCUGGGAUUUCACAAGGUACGUUGUUGUUUAUGUGUAUCUCGAUGGGCCGAGGAUCUUUCGGAAACAAUCUCUCUAUCUCUAUGAGGUAGCGGUAAGGUCUAUGUACACUCUAUUCUCCCCCCAGACUCCACUUUCUGGGAUUUCACAAGGUACGUUGUUGUUUAUGUGUAUCUCGAUGGGCCGAGGAUCUUUCGGAAACAAUCUCUCUAUCUCUAUGAGGUAGCGGUAAGGUCUAUGUACACUCUAUUCUCCCCCCAGACUCCACUUUCUGGGAUUUCACAAGGUACGUUGUUGUUUAUGUGUAUCUCGAUGGGCCGAGGAUCUUUCGGAAACAAUCUCUCUAUCUCUAUGAGGUAGCGGUAAGGUCUAUGUACACUCUAUUCUCCCCCCAGACUCCACUUUCUGGGAUUUCACAAGGUACGUUGUUGUUUAUGUGUAUCUCGAUGGGCCGAGGAUCUUUCGGAAACAAUCUCUCUAUCUCUAUGAGGUAGCGGUAAGGUCUAUGUACACUCUAUUCUCCCCCCAGACUCCACUUUCUGGGAUUUCACAAGGUACGUUGUUGUUUAUGUGUAUCUCGAUGGGCCGAGGAUCUUUCGGAAACAAUCUCUCUAUCUCUAUGAGGUAGCGGUAAGGUCUAUGUACACUCUAUUCUCCCCCCAGACUCCACUUUCUGGGAUUUCACAAGGUACGUUGUUGUUUAUGUGUAUCUCGAUGGGCCGAGGAUCUUUCGGAAACAAUCUCUCUAUCUCUAUGAGGUAGCGGUAAGGUCUAUGUACACUCUAUUCUCCCCCCAGACUCCACUUUCUGGGAUUUCACAAGGUACGUUGUUGUUUAUGUGUAUCUCGAUGGGCCGAGGAUCUUUCGGAAACAAUCUCUCUAUCUCUAUGAGGUAGCGGUAAGGUCUAUGUACACUCUAUUCUCCCCCCAGACUCCACUUUCUGGGAUUUCACAAGGUACGUUGUUGUUUAUGUGUAUCUCGAUGGGCCGAGGAUCUUUCGGAAACAAUCUCUCUAUCUCUAUGAGGUAGCGGUAAGGUCUAUGUACACUCUAUUCUCCCCCCAGACUCCACUUUCUGGGAUUUCACAAGGUACGUUGUUGUUUAUGUGUAUCUCGAUGGGCCGAGGAUCUUUCGGAAACAAUCUCUCUAUCUCUAUGAGGUAGCGGUAAGGUCUAUGUACACUCUAUUCUCCCCCCAGACUCCACUUUCUGGGAUUUCACAAGGUACGUUGUUGUUUAUGUGUAUCUCGAUGGGCCGAGGAUCUUUCGGAAACAAUCUCUCUAUCUCUAUGAGGUAGCGGUAAGGUCUAUGUACACUCUAUUCUCCCCCCAGACUCCACUUUCUGGGAUUUCACAAGGUACGUUGUUGUUUAUGUGUAUCUCGAUGGGCCGAGGAUCUUUCGGAAACAAUCUCUCUAUCUCUAUGAGGUAGCGGUAAGGUCUAUGUACACUCUAUUCUCCCCCCAGACUCCACUUUCUGGGAUUUCACAAGGUACGUUGUUGUUUAUGUGUAUCUCGAUGGGCCGAGGAUCUUUCGGAAACAAUCUCUCUAUCUCUAUGAGGUAGCGGUAAGGUCUAUGUACACUCUAUUCUCCCCCCAGACUCCACUUUCUGGGAUUUCACAAGGUACGUUGUUGUUUAUGUGUAUCUCGAUGGGCCGAGGAUCUUUCGGAAACAAUCUCUCUAUCUCUAUGAGGUAGCGGUAAGGUCUAUGUACACUCUAUUCUCCCCCCAGACUCCACUUUCUGGGAUUUCACAAGGUACGUUGUUGUUUAUGUGUAUCUCGAUGGGCCGAGGGUCUUUGUUGUUGUUGUUGUUUGUGUGUAUCUCGACUAUUUCAUCGAAUACAAACACAUUGCAUAGUUGAAUGUAUGCUAAAAGUAGCUAACAUGUGUUGGAUACUUUCGAAAUGUGACAAGUGAAACUGCAAUCACAAAUAAAAUAUGAAGAAAUAUAACUGUUGAUGAAUUUAGUAGAUCAUUAUAAGAGGCCGAAUGUCUAUUAAUCGAAUCGAUUUCAAUUUUUACAGUACAUUGCUUUCGGGUUGAUCUCUAGGAAGAACUUCGUUGAUCACUCCUCGCUUGCCGUAGAGCUCAAUAGGACUUCACUAUGCACGCUACCAUCUUCCAUGUGAAUCCGUGACUUCAAAGAAAAUCGUUGUGUUGUUAUCUCCAGAAUCCUAGCUCCCCUUGACCAGUUUCCAUACCCUCCAUAACCUGUGUGUCUAGCAUAACAUAACCACAACUUCUUGUAUGGACAACACCAGUCUAAUCCAUGGUUAUGACCUACAAACACAGCCUGCCAAUCAUCCGAAAGAACGUUAAUAUAUCGCGCUAACAUCAGUGUCGGAGACAGAAUUUUCAUAAGCGUUCCUCAACCGAAACAAAUUUGACCUUGUAUAUACAGUGUGACUUUCUGGCUAAGGGGGUUGGAUGAACCCCCUUCUGCCCGUCUAGCUCGAUCACUAAGACUAUUUUUUUUAAUAACCGUGGUGUCCAGGCCAGCUUUCGCGCACCUCGACUAAAUUCACGGGAUACCUGCCACCUCCCACCAGCAACAUAUACUAGGUAAAUCGGUCCACCAAGGCUAAGACAGAUCGGAAAAAUCAUCUGGUGAUUUUUUGUCUCUGCUGCACUAAGACUUGCUUAUUAUCCCAUAAAGAACAACAGCAACAUUAUCCGUUUUAAGGUGAAAGGGGUGUCUUAGAGGAACGGUAAAUUUGUCUCCGGCUGAACUAUAAGUCAAGUCGCGUGUUUGAACCAUGAAAUCAGUCACUAGAGCUUAUGUUAUGAUAGGCUCUCUACGUUACACCUAUCCUCGGGGUACAACCCUUCCCCCAACUCUGCGCGAACGCAGAAUGGUUCAUGCAUCUGACUAACCUUUUACGACAGUUAUAUUGGGGUACUUUGGCGUAAACAUCAUUCUUCCUAGAAGUAUGUAUUUUUAGAGGCAGAUAUGAUCAAACAAGUGAAGUUUUAUGUCGCUCCAUUUAAGCUCGUCUCAGUCAGAUAUCUCUAUUACAUGAACAUGAAGUACUAGGAGAAGUUUUCUGUACUUACUACCGGCGCAUCACUAACACGACUAAAAGUAAACGUACUAACACGGUUAAUACCUUCACAGAAGACCUUCCUUCAAGAAGCUUCAUCAUCCCCAUUUCAGCUUCUUGAGAAGCAACUUCCUCCGCGAACAUUGAGCCAAUACAUUUCCUGUGUGCAUCAAACCUUGGAGCAACCGUCUUAUAAGCUUGGCUUGGUAUAUGCCAGAAAAUUAUCUCCGGUACACUGUCAAUUCAAUGUCCUUUAACGUUUAAUAUCGCUCCAAAUGAGAAAGUAUAAGCAUUGAGAAGUAUACACGAAAAGAGCAAAUUGCUGCUCAUUCUACAUGCUUUUUGCCUGCUUUUUGUUCCAGUUCUAUCGAUAACAUCCAAGAACGAUAGAAAUUAUACAGUACUAACAUCGUUUCUUUGUGUCAAUACGAUGAUUUGGAUUGUUACUGAACUCGAAUCUAGUUCAAACACGAAAGGUAGAGUUUACCUUGAGUUAGGAUUGAUCGCUUGAGAUGUGCGGUUGAACCAUUUCGCUUGUGCAUUUGAUAUAACCUCCGGGUAUGAACCACCACCAGAAUCUAAGAAAUACAUGUAUGCUAUGACUGAUUCAGGAUCAUCUGUCGAUGAAAGUUUAAGGACGUAGUUGGAAAUGCUUGGCCAUAGAGCUUUAGGACCGAGCUUUGAGUACGAUAAGUUAUUCAUCUUUAGUUCAUUCAUCAUCAGCCCCAAACGCGUUGUGCCCUUGAAGCUGCAAUCUUUGCCUCCUGAAAUGUAAACUCUCCGGAAUUAAGCAAUUUUCUUCGGGAUCAUAUCUUACCAGCAAGAAGCGUUAACAUUCUCUGAUUAUGCGAGAUCAGCUUAUCUUGUUACCUUCAGACUCACUAGGAGAGGAACCACUCGUUGGACAAUGAAGAGGAGGAAUUCUGGUGGAUGAAAACCAAUCGAUUGACCACUCAAAUGGCAUAUCGUCAUGGUUUCCAAACACGCUAGCCCAUGGAAUUCCUCUGUCUCUAGUCGGAGAGAUUGCUUGAUCCCAGUAUAAACUUGCAUUAUGUAUCGCUAUGUUGUUGGCUGUAAUGACAUCGCCAAGAUAAACUACCAAGUCUGCAACAAAAUUCUUGAACAUCAACUCCAUACGUUCAACCCAACACAGCAUUAUCGAUGCAGUAUAUAUAUAUAUAUCAAUGUAAAUUUUACUGAACUUUCAACAACAACAACAACGCCUCAAUCCCAUACGCCGUACUAAAAAAGUACUCCUACGAAUAUUAUAAGGAGGCAACACCUUUGGGAGAUCAUCUGAAGGACCACGAAACUAAUACGACAGCAAGUUUUGAUGGAUGACAACAACUUCAACAUUCACAGCGUAGUCCCACAAACUGGGAUAUGGGGAGGGUAGAGUGUACGCAAACCUUACCCCUACCUCGGAGGUAGAGAGGUUGUUUCCGAUAGACCCUCGGCUCAAGAACAAAUCUAGAUACCAUUCCAUCUUCCAGGUGAGAUAAAUUAGAUAAUACAUAACCACAACAUUCAAAUUUGACCUCGACUAUCAACUAACCACUUCAACUUUGAGAGUGUACAUCUCAUCAAUUCAACUUGGGCUCAGCUAGCAACUAAACACUUCAACUCAUCCUCAUUACAUCUCGUGGACACAUGCAAUGCUGACGUGACACACAAAUUUUAGAGAUGUGUAGAUGACAUGACACUAGUUCAAAUUUUUGUCUCAACUCGCAGCCGAACACUUCAACUCGUCGUCCCCUCCCCCACCGUAUCUCAUUGACACACAAUGCUGACAUGACACAUAAAUUUUAGACAUCUUGGUCUCAACGAACUACAAAACACUUCAACUCAUCCUCAUUACAUCUCAUGGACACAUGCGAUGCUGACGUGACACAUAAAUUUUAGAGAUGUCUAGCUGACGUGACACUAGUUCAAACUUUUGUCUCAACUGUCAGCUGAACACCUCAACUCGUCAUCACCUCCCCCACCGUGUCUCAUUGGCACACAAUGCUGACGUGGCACAUAAUCGUUUGAUAAUUUAAAGCGUUCAAUUAACACACUAAAUACGAGUUGAAGCGUAUAGAUGUACAUACAAAAAGCUAUGUAUAUAAUAUAAGAAUAACAAUUGUGGAUAACAUUAUCGUGAUGACCUGGAUGUUGUAGAUCAAGCACAGUAGACAUCACUUUAAUGGAGUUAACAUCUUGUUGUGGGCCCCAUUCAGUCCAUGCAUCUUCACCAAAAUGCAAGUCUGCAAAAACAGCUAUCUUGAAUGAUGAACCUGGACGUACGUGAAGAGUAUUACCCUCCGGUAACGUCGGCCGGAGGGAAAUUUUCCGGUGAAAUUCACGUUGAUCAUGUGAAUGGACGGUUAAGAUUGAUCUGAGAAUCAAAGAGAUGAAGAAGAAGAAGAUGAUGGAUAGGUAGAAUGGAGACAUCAUCAUCAUUGGAAGUGUGUUCUAAGGAAUAUUACAACAGCUGUUUGGUUGUAGAGAAGAUACAGGUGAUGUGAAAUGACAGAAUUACCCUCACGGUCGCUUUGGUCACUGGCUAGAGUUAUGCAUGUAUACUUGUGAUUGAGUAGUAUGAAAUGACAAAAUUACCCUCACGGUCGUUUUGAUCGCUGGUUAGAGUUAUGCAUGUAUACUCGUGAUUGAGUAGUAUGAAAUGACAAAAUUACCCUCACGGUCGUUUUGGUCGCUGGUUAGAGUUAUGCACGUAUACUUGUGAAUUGAGUAAUGUGAAAUGACAGAUUACCCUCACGGUCGUUUUGGUCGCUGGCUAGAGUUAUGCAUGUAUUCUUGUGAUUUAGUAGUAUGAAAUGACAGAAUUACCCUCACGGUCGUUUUGGUCGCUGGUUAGAGUUAUGCACGUAUACUCGUGAUUGGGUAGUAUGAAAUGACAGAAUUAUGGUAGCUUCAGUCGCUGGCUAGAGUUAUGCAUGUAUACUUGUGAUUGAGUAAUGAGAAAUGACAGAAUUACCCUUACGGUCGUUUUGGUCGCUGGUUAGAGUUAUGCACGUAUACUCGUGAUUGAGUAGUAUGAAAUGACAGAAUUACCCUCAUGGUCGUUUUGGUCGCUUGCUAGAGUUAUGCAUGUAUACUUGUGAUUGAGUAAUGUGAAAUGACAGAAUUACCCUUACGGUCGUUUUGGUUGUUGGUUAGAGUUAUGCAUGUAUACUCGUGAAUUGAGUAAUGUGAAAUGACAGAAUUAUGGUAGCUUCGGUCGCUGGUUAGAGUUAUGCAUGUAUACCAUGAAUUGAGUAUUGUAAAAUGACAAAUUACCGUUACGGUCGUUUUGGUCGCCGGUUAGGGUUAUGCAUGUAUUCUCAUGAAUUAGUUAGUAGAGAAGAUAUACGUGGUUUGUAAUUUAUUCAUGGUGAUGUGAAACGACAAAUAUACCCUUACGGUCGUUUUGAUUGCUGGUUAAAGUUAUGCAUGUAUACUCAUGAAUUAGUUAGUAGAGAAGAUAUAGGUGGUUUGUGAUUUACUCAUGGUGAUGUGAAAUGACAGAAUUACCCUUACGGUUGUUUUGGUCGCUCGUUAGAGUUAUGCAUGUAUACUCAUGAAUUAGUUAUUUCAUAUUUUACGUACUCCGACCAUUUCAUCUUAUUUUAUGUGACACCUUACAUAUUUAUGUAUUUAUAAAUCAUUUUAUUAGGGGCAAAAGAGAAAUUUUAAAGUUAAAUUAUUUCUAUUCAGUUGUUUGGUUGUAGAAAUAUACUUUCCACCGUCCAAUUUUACGUAGCGUACUUUCCAUUUUAGUCCAGCGAAAAAAAGAAUGUCAUCGUACUAUAAUUAGAAAUAAUUUAAUCUUAGUCCUUUGGUAGACAAUAUAAGGUGAAUAUUUCAUGGUUAAAUUAGGUACUUAAUUUAUAUUAUAUUGAAUUGAUGGUAAAAUUUAUUCCAGUAGCAAUUUAUACCACCAGCCAAAAAUGGUAUAAUUUAAUAUGCCAAAUUUAGUCUUGAAAUAUUUCAUCUUAUCCUAUACAAUGAGACUCUGAGAGUAUAUAAUUUGAGGCGGUUUGUAAUUUACUCAUGGUGAUGUGAAAUGACAAAAUUACCCUUAGAAUCGUUUUGGUCGCUGGUUAGAAUUAUGCAUGUAUAUCUGAGUUGGUAAUCCAUGAAUAUUUCAUCUCGUAUGUACUUUCUCCGUCCAUUUUAUGUGUCAUCAAAAAGAAAUAUUUUUUAAACUUAUAAUCUAAAACAAUCCUUACAUAUUUGUGUUGUAAAUAAUUUCAUUACGGAGAAAAAAAUAGUUAAAUUAAAUUAUUUCUAAUUAUGGUAAAGUAAUAUUCUUUUUGGAGCAAACUAAAAAGGAAAGUAUGCCACAUCAAUUGCUGCAGAAGCUUGAGGGUAUUUUUGUCCUUUCACUUAGAAGCACAUAGGAAUAUUAUUUUCAGUAUUUUCUUAUACCUUUUUCUUUCUAUAAAGGAAUAUUACUCAACUCCAAUAGAAUAUGCUAAAUUUUGCAUUGUAAUACUCACUACUACUUGAUUAUUAUAGUACUAAAAAUAGCAUUAUAUUUUUGGAAAUCUAUUAAAUAAAAUAAAAUUGUGUCUAAUAUAAAUUACCUAACUACAAAAGUUGUAAACUACUUAUUUGCUUGGGUCAAAUUUAUCCUUAGUGUUAUAAUCAUGGUUGAGUAAUAAUGUAUCCUCAAAUUGAAUUUUAUUCAUGAAAAUUAAAUUAUUUAAUUUGAUGCAAAUAUAAAGUUCUAAUAAAACAACUCAUAAGUAUCAUAAUCUCUAUAACUAAUUUUAUUAGGGAACAUAAUUUUAACCAUAUGUGAUGUACAGAGGUCAACCGUUAGCGAUUAUGAGUGUAUAUUUGAUUUUGUGCAUUCUUCGCCAAAUUCCUGCUCCGCUAGUACUACCUCCAAAGUAAAAUGUGCAUAACGUUUUCCCCCAAAGUUGGAUUGACAAGAAGAUUGUUCUACCGUAAACUAAACUCGAAGAACUUUCAUUUGACAGAUAAGUAAAAUGUGCAUAACGUUUUCCUCCAAAGUCGGAUUGACAAGAAGAUUGUUCUACUGUAAACUAAACUCGAAAACUUUCAUUUGACAAAUAAGUAAAAUGUGCAUAACGUUUUCAUCCAAAGUCGUAUUGACAAGAAGUUUGUUAUACUGUAAAUCAAACUCGAAGAACUUUCAUUUGACAUAUAAGUAAAAUGUGCAUAACGUUUUCCUCCAAAGUCGGAUUGACAAGAAGUUUGUUCUACUGUAAACUAAAACUCGAAGAACUUUCAUUUGACAGAUGAGUGAAAUGUGCAUACCGUUUUCCUCCAAAGUUCGACAAGAAGUUUGUUCAACUGUAAACUAAACUCGAAGAACUUUCAUUUGACAGAUAAGUAAAAUGUGCAUAACAUUUUCCUCCAAAGUCGGAUUGACAAGAAGACAAGAAGUUUGUUCUACUGUAAAUAAACUCGCAGAACUUUCAUUUGACAGAUAAGUAAAAUGUGCUUAACGUUUUCCUCCAAAGUCGGAUUGACAAGAAGUUUGUUCUACUGUAAACUGAACUCGAAGAGCUUUCAUUUGACAGAUAAGUAAAAUGUGCAUAACGUUUUCCUCCAAAGUCAGAUUGACAAGAAGUUUGUUCGACUGUAAACUAAACUCGAAGAACUUUCAUUUGACAGAUAAGCAAUAUGUGCAUAACGUUUUCCUCCAAAGUCGGAUUGACAAGAAGUUUGUUCGACUGUAAACUAAACUCAAAGAACUUCCAUUAUACAGAUAAGUAAAAUGUGCAUAAUGUUUCCUCCAAAGUCGGAUUGACAAGAAGUUUGUUCGACUGUAAACUGAACUUGAAGAACUUUCAUUUGACAGUUCAGCUUAUAAAUCUCCAUGUAGUUGUAGAUAUGGUCACUCAAAGUCAGAAGACAUCAACUUGACUAGUUAACUUUUCUGUCACCUAGAAAAUUUCGCCUUUGUGAACUUCGUUGGUUAGGCUUAUAUACCUCUACAUUCUUCACGUUCAAGUAGUUUAAUCAACGUUCGUUUGUCAUACACGUAACAAAAAGGUUCGCGAAAUGGAAACUCAGGUUUAGAAUCCCCCUAGAUGAAGCGAAAACCGUGGAGAAAGGAGGAAUGGCAUGUGUCAUACCACUACAAAUCGAUCUAUCCAUCAGCGAUUCAGGUCAUCGUUGGUAUUGGCAAGAAUGUUCUUCUGUCCUCUGCCGGAGAGGGAAAAAAAGGCCUCCGCGGACAACUUUUAGUUUAUGAAAGUAGGCGAAAAGCUCUACUGUAAGAGGCAACUUGGCAAUGUUAUAGAAGUAGCAUGCAUACGCGAUGGUCGCCUUGUAUUGCAUUCUGCAGAUAGUCAUCGAGGAUAACUGUACCAAUAGGGUGCUCCAACAAAAGAGUGAAAGGGUAUGUAUAUACAAACCAAGAAGCUAUGUCAACGACUCAAAAUCUGCUCGUGCAAGGUCCGGCCUCAACUAGCCACUAUCGGCUUGCUAGAAUCACUAGCCGCUGGCUCCACUUUAGCACGGUGCAAUCAUUAUCAAAUUUGAACUUUUUGUGUAUCAUUUCUUUUUCGCGCGUGGGAAGAUCAGUUUGCUGGUCUUGGUCCCGUAAUGCAGAAGGGAUGCUCUCCGUAGAAAUCCUUUCUACAGUGUUGACACGCGGAGAAGCUGCAACAGACGGUCUGCAUACACAGACGCUGACUGCUGGUGUUAACCGUGGCAUCUGUAGAGUAAGACAGGUUGCAUCUUUUCAUCGAAAAAAGCAAACAACAGAAGGAAACAAGAUUCAAAGAAGGCUAAAAAGCGGAGAUCCGGAGAGUUAUGCAACAAAAAAGUGGCCUCGAAGAAGAAGGAAGGUUGUACAGAAGAGUGAUGAUGAUGAGAAAGAGGACUAUAAGAAGGGGGGAAAUGGAUCAGCGCUAGCUUUGAAGCCGGGGAACCAGAGUAGCCCUCUCACCAUGCAGUUGAACCACGGACAUGCAGCUUGACACGAAAGGACAAACUCGGUUACAACAAUUAAGGCGAAAGGAUGCUAGUUGAAUCACGCGUUUUUGAAGCCAAAAACUACACAUGAAUGGCUUUCGUGAUGUUUUUUCACCAUUGAUCUCAUUAUUGAUAGAAUCGACUUCUAAUUUUCCGAGCCUUACAAGUCAUCUAUGUAAAUCAAGACAAACAAGAUCGAGCGAGCAACAAAUUCUCUUAAUAUACAUAGCCAACACAAACUAUUCAGACGAUUCUUUGAUAGGCUUCCCUUUCUCUCUUAGCUUCGCGAUGGAUUCUUUCAUAGCUUCCUUUCUCCUCUUACUAGCUAGUACUUUAGCCAAGACACCGCUGACAUUUGGAUCCUUUUUCUCCGUUGGUGGUGGUGGUGGUGGUCUUCUUGCAGCAGCAUGUGCUGUCUUGUUACCUGCAUUCAGCGCCACCGCGACUCCUGCCAAACUCAACGCCAAACUCCUGCAUCAAUACCAAGUACAUCACAUGUACAUUUUCAAGAAUAUCUUCUCACAUUGCAGCAUUUUUUCGAUUGUACUGCAUGUAUACAACAACAUCCUCAGUGUAUUCCGACAAAGUGGAGUCUGAGGAGGGUAAAGUGUACGCAGACCAUACCACUACCUCAGAUGAUGUAGAGAGAUUGUACUGCAUGUAUAUCUAGCAAAAAUUAUAUAGUAGUGACAACCUAUUAUAACCAAACUAUGUGUAUGAAACUGCUCAUUUUCGCAUAUUUGUUGCGCGUUGACUAAUACAAAGCGAGGUUUGGGGAGGACAGAGUGCACCUGGACCUUACCUCUACCCUAGGCGCUAGCCGCAGAGGCGGAACCAGGAUUUCAAGUAAGGGGGUUCAAUAUUCAACGAAAACUAAGUCAAAGGGGGUUCAACACCUACUAUAACCACAUAAAAAAUAAUUUUAAUUAUGUAUAAAUAGUAUAUUUUUCCGUCAAAGGGGUUCGUAAAGAGGGCUGGCUGCGCCUCUGGCGCGAGGUAGAUAGGCUGUUUCUGAAAGACCCCCGGCUCAAGACAAGAGCGGACCAGAAAAAGACGUAAUGGAAGUACAAGGGACAAUAGGUAGUAACAAAAACAACAGAUAAUAGCAUCGAUCAAAAGAACAAGAAACUACAAGAGUACUAAUCCUACUACGACUACUAGUAAGGGCAACAAGACAAGACAGUAGACACACGUAUCUACUAGUAUGGACACACUCCUACCUACUAACCUGCGAGAGACAAUAUUUGCGUCCGAUUCGCCGCCUUGAUGAUGAAAAUCCAAGACUCUAGAAGAGCUCACCAAACUAGCAUUCUUCUUUGUUGUUGAUAAUGAGGUUAGUGUAGCUACUGCUACUGUAGAAGACAAUAACUGAGCCAUAAUUUUAGUGUGUGUGUGUAUGUGCAUUUUCUUGAAAUGAAUUGUUACAUUUCUAUAUGUCAAGAACAAGAAAUGUUCUUCUUGUGGUUUCAGUGUGCUUGGAUAAUAGUAAGCAUUUGGCUUUGAAAUUGUAUUGGUUAAAUCUUGAUAAGUGUGGACCCUUCUAUGGCAUUUCCUUAUCCAUUCCAUUUCUGUCUAUACCCUAAACCAUUCAAAACUAAGGUAACAUGUCCACGAUGCGUGUGUCUGUUUGUUCAACUUUAUACAAGUUUAAGUAUCUACUUGUGCACAUCCAGAGUUGAAGAACAUAAACGUAAGUUGAUGUCAAGUUAAAGGGCACGUUAAUGCAUUAUGCCUUUUAGAAAACUCUCUUUAGAUUUCGCCAGCGACGCUAGUCUUUUAUGUAGUUUCCGAUAUGAACGUUUACCUCUUUCUUUGAUUAUUUGUUUGAAUCAUUAUAUAUAAUCGGAGGACAUGUAUGUUUAGGUUUCAUCUAUAUACUUGAUGAAAUCUGACAUAUCUUAACCAAACCUUUCGCAUGGGCUCGACGCGCACUUGUAUUUAGAGGCUUUAGCGGUCUUUGAUUUCAUUACAUGUUGUUUUGUUUGGUUCAAUAAUACCGCUUAUAUAUCCUAGUGAAUUUUACGGACCUACUCGAAAAAGAAUCAUAUACAACCCAUUUAUAUGCUUAAUUUUAUAACACUAACUCCAUAUUUUCGGACACAUGAUAUUAUAUGAAAUAAAGAGUAUAAAACAUCAAUAAAUGAUUUAUCUUAUUUUUAAGAUUACUAAAUUAAAUUCAUAUUUUCUUCUUCUUCUCCUCUAAUUAUAAUUACAAUUACUCCUUUUUCCUCAUUUUAUGUUGCAGUUUUUCAAGAGUCAAAUAAUUGAUGUUUUUAACCCGAAAUUUGACUACAAAAUCUUCAAUUUUUUCAUAAAUAUAUAAAAAAUUUACGAUCAAAAUUAAAUUUAUUUGAAUUUUGAAAUUCAAAAAAUGACAUAUAAAUUAAGACCAAGGGAUAUAAAAUUCUCCUUAUUAUUUCCCCCUCUAUUUUCCCUUUUUACCAUUAAAUAAACCCCUCUUUUCUCUCUUCCCGUUAAUAAACGCUCCUUAAUCCUCCUCCGCCGGAGCACCGCCGCCGCCGUAAAGUCCACCGCUCCUUGUCCACUUCGACCAGAAUAUUCCGGCGAACUCCGGUAAGUCUCUGUAUCCUUCUAUUGUAAGAACUAAUUUGUCCGCCUCUGAUUCAAAUUCCUAUCGGCGAUUUUUUCUGUGUAUUUCGAGCUAAUUUGUUGGGGUUGUAUUCAUGCGAGUUUAAUUUUUGUGUAUUUUGAGUGAAAAACAAAGCUAAAAUAUCUCGGUUUUGGGAGUUCAGUACCUGAGCUAAGCGGUCGCCUCUGAUUCAGUGUCCUAUCUCUGAUUUUUCCUGUGUAUGUAGAGCUAAUGUGAGUUGUAAAGCUGGUUAUUUGCUGAUAUUGUAUUCAUUCGAGCUUAAUUUGUGUGUUUUUUGAGUGAAAAACACUGCUAAAAUGUCUCGGUUUUUGGAGUUUAGUACCUGAACUAAUUGGUCCGCAUCUUAUUCAAUGUCAUAUCGGCGAUUUUUGCUGUGUAUUUUGAGCUAAUGUGAGUUUUACAGCUGGUUAUUGUGGUUUUUUGAGUUUAGUACCUGAACUAAUUGGUCCGCCUCUAAUUCAAUGUCAUAUCCCGAUUUUUUUCUGUGUAUUUCGAGCUCAUGUGAGUUGUACAGUUAGUUAUUUGUUGAGAUUGUAUUCAUUUGAGCUUUAUUUUGUGUUUUUUGAGUGAUAAACACAGCUAAAAUAUCUCGAUUUUUUGAGUUUAGUACUUGAACUGAUUGGUCUGCCUCUGAUUCAAUGUCAUAUCGGCGAUUUGCUGUUUAUUUAGAGCUAAUGUGAGUUGUACAGCUGGUUAUUUGUUGAGAUUAUAUUCAUUCGAGCCUAACUUUUGUGUUUUUUGAGUGAAAAACACAGCUAAAAUAUCUCCUUUUUUGUAGUUUAGUACCUGAACUAAUUGGUCCGCCUCUGAUUCAAUGUCCUGUGGGCGGUUUGUGCUGUUUAUUUUAUAGCUAGUGAGUUAUAGAACUAGUUAUCUAUUGAGAUUGUAUUCGUUCAAAUAUUUGUGUUUUUGAAGUGAUAUGUGAAAAACACGUAUCCCGGGCUUUUUGAGUUCCAUACUUGAACAAUUAGGUGUGCAAGUUCUCAACAUGAACUAUCUUCAACUAUUUAUCAAUCCUAUCGGAGAUUUUGCUGUCUAUUUUGAGCUAAUGUGAGUGAUAGAGAUAGUUAUUUGUUGAGAUUGUAUUCAUUCGAGCUGAACAUUUGUGUUUUUUUGAGUGAAGAGUGAAAAAUUAAAGCUAAAACAUCUCGGUUUUUGGAGUUUCAUACCUGAACUAUUAGGUGUGCGAGCUUCCUACCUGAACUAAUUUGUUCACCUCUGAUUCAAAGUUCCAUUGGAGAUUUUUUCUGUGUAUUUCGAGCUAAUGUGAGUGAUAGAGGUGGUUACUUAUUGAUAUUGUAUUCAUUCAAGUUUAAUUUUUGUGUUUUUUCAGUGAAGAGUGAAAAAACUCAGCUAAAAUAUCUCGAUUUUUGGAGUUUCACAUCUGAACUAAAGCUUUGCUAUUGUAUUUUGCUGAUUUUUGUUAUGAAAUAAUGUCAUAUAAUAUUGUUGAUUUCAAAUAGUUAGUGAAGUCCCAUACAGAUUUGCAUAUAAGCUGAAGCAUAGUCUUUAAGAAGAGGGGUUUCUCUAAUAGUUAACUUUUGGGUCAUUAUAAGCUACUUCGUUGCAUAUUUCGAGCCAAUGUGAGGUCAUACAACUGGGUUUUUCUUCAAAAUGUACUCAUUCGAGCUUAAUUUUCUUUUGUGGGCACAUUAAAGAGUUUUGCUAUUAUCUGCUGAUUAUUGUGUUAACAUAAUGUUUUAAGGUAUUGUUGAUUUCAAAUAUUUAGUGAUGUUCCAUACAGGUAUACUGAAGCAUAUCUAUUAAGAAGAGGGGUUUCUAUAAUAGCAAACAUUUGGGUCAUUAUAGGCUAUUUGUUGCGUAUUUCAAGCCAAUGUGAGGUCACACAGCUAGUUCUUUCUUGAGAGUGUAUUCAGUCGAGUUACAACAACAACAACAAACCCAGUGUAUUCCCACUUAGUGGGGUCUGGGGGGGGCUAAGAUGUACGCAGUCCAUACCUCUACCUCUGAUGAAGUAGAAAGGCUGUUUCCGAAAGACCCCCGGCUCAAGUCACGAGAUAUCACACAAACACAUAGUACAGCAAAGAAGCAGAUGACGUAACAUAGAUACGGCACCCAUAAGGAAUAUAAAACAGAGUAAAGCAGGAAGGCAGGAAUAUAAAGCAGAGGAAAGCACACAUAUUCGUAAUAAACAUGAAACACGGGACACGGAACAUUGACUACGGAAACAUAACAGGAAUACACCCCCACCAAUUAAUUCCCUACACUAGCGACCCGAACUGGCCCUAAUCCUCUGCCGUAAUUCGCAUCCUCCAGACCUUCCUA
rnacentral:lncRNA from 1 species